rfam:Gossypium raimondii Chr09_contig_1724, whole genome shotgun sequence.
UGUUAAAAUUUUCAUCAAUUUUAAUUGUUAAAAAUUGGCAUGACUAAUGAAAUAACCAGACUGUUACGCGUGCACCUUAUGCAUACUUUUAACAGUAAAAGUAGAUAAAAUUUUUAAGA